AUGGUCUUUGUCCUGAAGAACAACCAGAGCUUCGCGACUUGCCUGGUGAAGGAUUUCUACCCCAAGGAGCUGAGCUUGACUCUGUCGGUCCCCCACCCCCCACUCAUAGAAUCUCUCAAGUCCACUGGCCCCUCCCCCAGGGGAACCUACAACACUAUUGGGAUCGGACAAUUCAGCAAGGCAGAUACAGUGACCUGCUCUGUGCGACACAGCUCUGUGCAGAUAAACAUAACCAAAGGGCAGGAUGCAGCCCCAGCACAUUCUGGUUCAGAAAAUCUGCAGGAAUUUGUCCUCACCUGUUCAGAACAGACCUUCACAGGUGAGUUUUGGCUGAAGAAGAAGAAGUAUUUAAGGAACCGUGAGUGGGUCAACAUGCUGUUCAUUGUCAUUCUGGCACUCAGAAUACUGCUCAUGAAAAACAUCACACUCAACCUUCUUCUGACAAUCCAGGCCUCUUGCUACUGA